AUUGCAGUGACUCAAAUCUGUGUAGCCUAUCAAUGUGAGCCUAACUAAUUCAGAUAAACAGGAGUUAUUUUUCUCUACCUUUUUUUAACAUUACAAGUCACAAUAGAAAUUGAUAAUAGAUUUAACUAUUUAAAAUACAACACAGCGCCCCAUGGCCCCUUCUGUUAUGGGUGUAAGAUGGCACAGUGAUGCCAUCUGUUGGUAAAUGUUAAUUACUGCAACUCCAGUGUUUUUUACCGGUGUGCUUGAAAUACCCGGAUGUAUUGCAAUAUACGGAACAAGACUGGUUACUCGCAUCAACGCCUCUGUCUCGUCAUUUAACAUUCAAACACCUUCUGUUCGGUUUUCAUCCGUUUCUUUCUUGUUAAGCAUUUCCCCAUUCUUGAGUCAGACCUUAUGGGAAUGUGUGGGACAGAAGAGGAAUUUAUGACAAUUUAGCAUAGACAAUAGCUACAGUACUCUACUCUCACCAUGUCUACCAUUUAGGUUUAGCUAGUUAUGUUAUCCACUGCUAGCUAAUAACUUGCUAACACUAAUAGCUAGCUACCACAGAUGACAUUUUUAUAAUAAACUAGUAAGUUCGUCUUAAAAUUGGAACCACUAAUUUUAGUGUGCUGACAAAGGAUGAUAGUUAGCUAAUUUACCAGCUACCUAACUAGAGACUGAACAUGAGUUCAAAGGUUAGAUAGCUAGCUAGCUACCACGCUAAUCCCAAAAAACAUUCUAAACAAAUUGCAUGGAAUAUCAUGUCGAUGUUCGCUAACUAGCUAGCAAAUGUGAUCUAUUUAGCUAUAUCAUGCCAAGGAUUAUCUCGUGUUAAAACGUCUAGCAGAACGUCUAUAUUGAAAAAUACGUUUUAAAAUUGACCUAAUGCUAGCUAGCUAACGUUUCCUAGCCAGCUACUAUAGGUAGGACAGAGGUGCUAGUUGAGCAGCGGUGCUAAAUCCAGCAGAACUUCUGUAUUCAAAGGUGAAACAAAUUGCAUAGCGAAUUCACCCUCUCUACCCUGUAUCCUUUGAACAACGUUUUUGUCACGCAAUCUCUUGUCUGGACUUUGAACACUUCUCAUAGCCACGUUCAUCCUGAUUAUUUACGAUGCACUGUCACAUGAUGUGAACACCGAGACAGAGGCAUGAUAUGAGUUUGACCAAUCAGAAGAACUAGGAUGAAGACGAGGCCACAUAGUACAUGACUGGAUAGAGCCUUCUGAAAUGCAACAAGCACAAUGGCUCAUGCCCCAAGUAAUGAGGAGGCCCUGACAAGUCUGGCUGAGCAACCAGUAGGCAUGUCCAGAGUAGACGACAGAGGAUGGAUCCCACUACAUGAGGCCGCAGUACAGGAGAAGAAAAGUAUUCUGGUGAUCGUUUUCUCAGCCUCCCCCAGGGUGCAGGGCAGUGCCGGACUCUGAAGGGAGAAAUGCCUCUCUUCCGGGAGAAUGCUACAUUCCUGCUACAGAACGGAUGCUGUCCUGACCUCCAGAACGAUGAUGAGGAAUCUCCGCUCGUGGCAGGACAAAUGACCCAACACACCUCCAGGCUGUGUAAGGGCUAUUUAACCAAGAAGGG
rnacentral:lncRNA from 1 species